GUAAAUCGUAACUAAUUGAGCACCUGUGUCCGAAGAUCCUCAAGGCCUAAUUUUGCUUGUAGAAUCUGUAGAGUGGUCUGCUCAUGUUGGACGCUCAAGGAGUAUGCUUCCAUCAGAGAAAGAGCAAUAGCAAUGGCAUGGUAACUUGCAGCAGUCUGACAAAAAGUAAGAGAAGUAAAUUUUUAUCUAAGCGCUUCAUUUUUCUUCCAACGUAAUAUUUACUGAUUAAGCUUAAGGCUUCAUCGCAUGGGAGGUCAGAAUUUAACUAUUAACUUUGGAUCCGGUCUGACUUACAGCCAACUAUUUACUUAUGUAGUAUCCUUUUUUCCGUGGUUUAUGGACGUCGGUUAGACAGAGGGCAUUAAAUUAAAUGCAAGUCCUUGCUUAGCAAAACCAACCUGGAUAUGAUCAGCUCCAAGUAGUCUCUGGUUACAUUUCAACGCUUCAUGAAGGUAUCUUAAAGCCACAUGGACAUUCCCCAAACCUUCUUCCAUCAUCGCUACAUUAAUAUAAGUGGCAGCAGUAUUUGGAUGUGACGGUCCACAUGUUAGAUGCAGAAGGUACAAUGCACGGUUGACAUACCUACAACAAGAAUAACAUGUUAGCAGAUGGGGAAAAAAUAAACUUUAGGCUUUAACUUUGAAUCAAAAUACUCAAGCCACGCAGCCGCAUCCUAACAUAGUUCUGGAAUGUAAGAAACUUUUAAACUGAAACUCCCUGUAAAUCGUAACUAAUUGAGCACCUGUGUCCGAAGAUCCUCAAGGCCUAAUUUUGCUUGUAGAAUCUGUAGAGUGGUCUGCUCAUGUUGGACGCUCAAGGAGUAUGCUUCCAUCAGAGAAAGAGCAAUAGCAAUGGCAUGGUAACUUGCAGCAGUCUGACAAAAAAGUAAGAUAAGUAAAUUUUUAUCUAAGGGCUUCAUUUUUCUUCCAACGUGAUAUUAACUGAUUAAGCUUAAGGCUUCAUCGCAUGGGAGGUCAGAAUUUAACUAUUAACUUUAGAUCCGGUCUGACUUACAGCCAACUAUUUACUUAUGUUAUCCUUUUUUCCGUGGUUUAUGGACGUCGGUUAGACAGAGGGCGUUAAAUUGCAACCAAUCAAGUGCUUAACAAAACCAACCUGGAUAUGAUCAGCUCCAAGUAGUCUCUGGUUACAUUUCAACGCUUCAUGAAGGUAUCUUAAAGCCACAUGGACAUUCCCCAAACCUUCUUCCAUCAUCGCUACAUUAAUAUAAGUGGCAGCAGUAUUUGGAUGUGACGGUCCACAUGUUAGAUGCAGAAGGUACAAUGCACGGUUGACAUAC
rnacentral:lncRNA from 1 species